CCAAGAGGAUACAACGCAGAUGAUGCGUGCACCCAGAAGCAGAACUUCUGCAACAACCUGUUUUUUCAGGAUCUAUUGUAGGGUACUCUUACAAUAAUGUUUGUUCUUUUUAGAAAAUGUUGCCAGUUUUUUCCAUUUUUUUUCCUCCCUUUCUAACUGAUAGGAUUGGAGAUGGGAAUGUUGUGAAUUAGGCUCAAGAACCUGGGCCCUGUUUAACUAUCUUGCAAUAGCACAGAUUUUUGUAUUUUGAUGUUAUUAUCUAUCACACGAGAUUAUAUAUACCAGUCUUUGUUCAUUUGUUAUAA